UACGGAGGGUGCAAGCGUUAUCCGGAUUCACUGGGUUUAAAGGGUGCGUAGGUGGGCAGGUAAGUCAGUGGUGAAAUCUCCGAGCUUAACUCGGAAACUGCCAUUGAUACUAUCUGUCUUGAAUACCGUGGAGGUCAGCGGAAUAUGUCAUGUAGCGGUGAAAAUGCUUAGAUAUGACAUAGAACACCAAUUGCGAAGGCAGCUGGCUACACGAAUAUUGACACUGAUGCACGAAAGCGUGGGGAUCAAACAGG
rnacentral:rRNA from 1 species